UGGGCCGCCGCAGCCCCUCGCGCUAACGGUCUGUAACGGCCCGCGUGCGCCGCCCGCCGGGGGCUCGCGCUGGCCACGAGGGAGCGUCCGCGGCCCGCACGCCCGCGCCGCGGAGGAGAGAGUCAACAAUCUAUAAUGGAGCUACUGUACUGGCUAUUGGAAGGGGAAGAUUCUGAAGAUGGGGAGAUUCACUCAUCGGUCUUUGAAAUUUCCUGUGGUCUGUUUUAGUGUAGAUGCAAAGGACAUGGAAAAAUCAAGUGCUCAAGUGGUUUGAAUAUGUUUUGGAAAAUACUUAUUUCUAGACUACAGUAUUUUUCCAAUUAAAAGCCUUAGUUGUCAUGCAGAAGAAGGCUAUGGUCUUCUUGAAUCACCAAUUUUAUUGAAAAUGAUUAGAUUACUGUAGAGUGUUACCAAACAUUUUGUGUUUUAACCAAAGUAUAGGAAAAAAUAAAAUCAAUUUUAUCUGUUGAGUUUUUUUCCCCUAAUAUACCUUUAUUGGAUUGAAUGAAUGUGCCUGGAAAAGAGGGUUCAAAUAAAACUCUUUCUCCAUCAUAGUAAUUCUUCCUGGCUAUC